rnacentral:rRNA from 1 species
AGAGUUUGAUCCCUGGCUCAGGACAAACGCUGGCGGCGUGCCUAACACAUGCAAGUCGAACGCCCUUUGGCAACAGAGGGAGUGGCGGACGGGUGAGUAACACGUGGGCCACCUACCUUAUGGUGAGGAAUACCUCCGGGAAACCGGUGAUAAUUCCGCAUAGGUUCUCGGCAACGAGAGCAAAGCUUCUUGCAAGAGAGGCGCCAUGAGAUGGGCCUGCGGCCGAUUAGCUAGCUGGUGGGGUAACAGCCUACCAGGGCCACGAUCGGUAGCUGGUCUGAGAGGACGAGCAGCCACACUGGGAUUGAGAACGGCCCAGACUCCUACGGGAGGCAGCAGUGAGGAAUCUUCGGCAAUGGACGCAAGUCUGACCGAGCAACGCCGCGUGCAGGAUGAAGGUCUACGGAUCGUAAACUGCUUUUCUCGGGGAAGAGAACGGACGGUACCCGAGGAAGAAGUCCCGGCUAACUACGUGCCAGCAGCCGCGGUAAUACGUAGGGGGCGAGCGUUGUCCGGAUUUAUUGGGCGUAAAGGGCCUGUAGGCGGUCUGCUACGUUCAUGCUGACAGGUGCCGGCUUCACCGGCACAGGUGUGUGAAUACGAGCAGACUUGAGAGCGAGAGAGGGACAUGGAAUUCCAGGUGGAGCGGUGAAAUGCGUAGAGAUCUGGAAGAACACCGAAGGCGAAGGCAGUGUCCUGGCUCGUGUCUGACGCUGAGGGGCGAAAGCCAGGGGAGCGAACGGGAUUAGAUACCCCGGUAGUCCUGGCCGUAAACGAUGACCACUAGAUGCGGGAGGUAUCGACCCCUUCCGUGUCGUAGCUAACGCAGUAAGUGGUCCGCCUGGGGAGUACGGUCGCAAGACUAAAACUCAAAUGAAUUGACGG